rnacentral:lncRNA from 1 species
UGGGGGAAGGACCACGCCUCCCUACUCCCGGGCCAAUCCCAUGCCAGGAAGUAGGGGGGUGGGACCCUUGGGGCACACUGGGGGAUCCAGUUCUCCUGGCCACAAUAUUUUAAAACUGGCUCCUGCCAUUUCAGUUCCAGCUCCCAUUUUCUGUCUCCUGGAUACAACGGCAACCCAAUACCAGCACCUUGAAUACUACCUUGGAUAUAGAAGAUCGUCAAUAAAAACUUGUUGAAUUAAAGACAAAGAAUCCCACUGAGCAAUGUGUACACCAUUAAGGCAUGGAGAAUCCCCUGCCAGAUUGACAAACUGGGAGCCCUGGAUACUAAAUUUAUCCAGAAUCCAUUUGGGGCAGCAUAUUGGUGGGAAGACCUCAGAGAAAGGAAGCUUUUCUCCAUUACUGCAUUACUCACAAGACCAGGAUGAGGCCAAAAUGUGGGUUCCUCCAUUAUGCCCUAGAGAAUUUUUCAUUCUGGACGAUCAUUGUUGCCUUGGAAUUCACUGAGAGAUAAGUAACUUCUUGUCCCUGUCACUAGAUGUUUCAUCACAGAAUCUCCAUUUAAGAACUGUGCCCAUUCCAGUUGUCUCUUCAUUUCCUGACAGGAUAUAAUCUAGACUACAUCUGUCCCCAGAAUGAAUACCUUCUCUUUCUCAUUUUUCAACUUUCUGUUAUGUGAUAUAUUUCCCAAAAAGAAUGGCAAACUCUUUGAGGGUAGAAAAUUGCCUUUCCUUUUGCUCAUAUUUGUAUUCUCGUCAAAUAGCACAGUGCUUGACAUAUAGUGAAUUCUAAAUAAAUGCUUGUAUACUAUAAAAUAGGGGUAAUAA